AAAGAAUGAAGGAUUUCUAUUUGCAAUGAAGAAUUUACUAUCUGGGAUCUAAUGUUGUGAUGGUGAUCUCAUUCACUGUACUAUGUGCAUGUUGACUAGAAGAGAAUUCACUAUCUGGUGUGUUUGUUUCUACGAAGAAAGCUGGUUGUUUAGCAGGUGGCAGUACACCUUCAUUGUUUAACAUCAUAACCACUGAAGACAUACUUGGACGAUCUUCUGGACGAUGUUGCACACACAAUAGACCAACAUGGAUUGAUCGUAUAACUUCAGGUGUAGAACAAACACCAAUGGGGAAAUCCCCGAGUAAUUCCAUUGAUCUACCUUCUUUAUAGAGUGUCCAUGCAUGUCCAAGGAGGUUAAGGUUAUGAUCCGGAUGAGAGAAUUUUCUGUUCCCUUUCCCACUUACAAUUUCAAGAACUAAGACACCAAAGCUAAAUACAUCUGACUUCACCGAGUAGACACCAUGUACAGCAUAUUCCGGUGAGAGGUAGCCAUAUGUUCCAACUACUCGGUGUGUCUUGGCUCCAAACUUGUCAUCUUCACAACUUCUUGCUAUACCGAAGUCUGAUAUCUUUGGAUUCAUGUCAUUGUCUAGUAAAAUGUUGUUAGCUUUCAGGUCCCUGUGAAUGAUCCUCAACUGAG
rnacentral:misc_RNA from 1 species